GGGGAUGUAGCUCAGUGAUAGAGCACUUGCUUAGCAUGAGCAAAGAUCUGGGUUCAAUCCACAGGACUUCA
rnacentral:tRNA from 1 species